GACGAACGCUGGCGGCGUGCUUAACACAUGCAAGUCGAGCGAGGCCCUUCCUUCGGGAAGGUGCCCUAGCGGCGAACGGGUGAGUAACACGUGGGCAACCUGCCCUCAGCUCUGGGAUAACCCCGGGAACCGGGGCUAAUACCGGUAUACGACCACAGUGGGCAUCCGCUUGUGGUGGAAAGAUUUAUCGGCUGAGGAUGGGCCCGCGGCCUAUCAGCUAGUUGGUGAGGUAACGGCCCACCAAGGCAACGACGGGUAGCCGGCCUGAGAGGGCGACCGGCCACACUGGGACUGAGACACGGCCCAGACUCCUACGGGAGACAGCAGUGGGGAAUAUUGCGCAAUGGGCGAAAGCCUGACGCAGCGACGCCGCGUGAGGGAUGACGGCCUCGGUUGUAACC
rnacentral:rRNA from 1 species